UUUUUUACAGGUCUAGGUGAAAUUCCAUGAAGCGCUGUACUUUCGGGUGUGUCAUUGCUGAACCAUACUCUGCUUCCAUCGGACACUACAACCAAGGCGAAAGAGAUUUUACCUUCAUUUGACACAUGUUCGUGCAAAUAAAACACCAUGCAAUGUUGACAACAUCCUUAAAGAAGACACGUAGACAUCAGUCGACAGGUAUAAUACUGUAACAACACAUAAUAAGGGGAUUCGACAGAGAUUUGUUAAUCCAAGAAUAUAAACUACCUGGUCCAUUAAUGGGAAACAGAAACCGGCUCUGCGACGCUCUGUCCCCUGCAUCCGCUGUCAAUCAGACUCAGUGGAAGAGAUACUGAAUUUUUCACUACUACUACGACAUGUACUACAUUUAACGGAAAUAUUGUUAGGCAAGUCCACCUAUGAAAUCGCAACUAAAAAUUCUAUUAAUAUACUACAUAGCGCACACUGUCUCAAUGAAAAUGUUUAUGUCCCAAGUGCACAAACUAAUGUGAUCUAAUUUAGAUAAAUAUAUAUGUAUAUAUAUAUGACAUGCAGACUCCUCUAAAACGAAACUGAUCGAACAGAAUUUAAUUUGACCAUGGAACAACAGACUCGAGAAUCUUACCCGUAGCGCUAAAAGGAGAACCGUAACGGAUUCCGGGAUUCUCGGGUGUUGAUUUUUGUAACAUAGUUCCCUGUAAACGAACAUGGCGAUGCUCGACAGCGCUACGCAUCUUGCAAUGCCAGUCGGCUCGCGUCUACAGCUUCUCAGGAGUAUCGUAAUUAUAUGCUCCUAAAAAUAAAAACAAUUCAUAUAACAUACAAUGUGUUCACAAAUUCGUGUUAUCUACAUGUAUCGAAUUACUUUUGCGUCCGGGCACGUCAUGGUUACAAUAUCUGUUGCAGUGGGUUGCAGUACCGGUAAUUUAAUUGUAGUCGCAGGCAACGACAAUAGCGAUCCAAUUAUGGAGACAGCUUCUGUCCUUGGCGCCUAGAAUAGUUUUAUUAUUUAUAUCUCCACAGUUAUAUAUAUUAUUGUACAAUUAAAUUAUUGCAGAUUCUACGGUACCCCAAUGUCUUGGCUGCUUAAUAUAACGUUAGCGGCAUGGAUAUAGUCCAAGAUCAACAGACUGGAGCCAGGAAGAUUCAAACUGAAUAACCUUGGGCCCGUAUACUUAACAAGCACGUGAAGCACUUUGGUGUCGUUGCUGACGAUACCGUUGUGAACCGCGCGAUAAAACAGAGUCAGGUGUUGCUUUGGUAAAUUGAUGUCCUGUGGCUGGAUUGUUAAAAGGCAAAUCAAACGAUAUGCCGCUAGUUUGCCAACUUCGAACUGUGCAGGAAGCUGUAUCGCCUGAAAGCGUGUGUAAUUCGUUUAAUUAGCAUCUCUUUUCUUUUUUCAAGUGUAUUAUAUUCAGUAAAUACUAACAACCUUGAAACACCAUGGGGCGAUAACUGUUAACGGUGGUAUGAGUUCUGGAGCUGGAGGAGUCGCUUGAUUAUCUCCAGACACGCCUUGGUUUAAACGAAUCUAUUUCAUACAAAAAAAAAAGAAGAAGUAAUAAUAUUUAUUUCAUUAUAAUGCCUUCGAUAAUUGUGAUAACCUGUGAUCCAGCAAGUACCAACUUUUAUGAGUGUUUGCGUUAGCUGCACAAGGUAGUCCAUCACUUGACCAUGAAGAAUGGGAUCUUGAAUGUUAUUUACAUCUCCUAAUGCCGACAGCAUACGUCUCCAUAAUACCACCGCCACGUCUGGCAACCAUCCCCGAACUCCACCACCUGCCAUAACAGAUCUUCUUUCCGAUGCAUCAUUAGUGUCUGCGAACGAUAAUGGAAUUACUUAUUUCAAUGAAAGAUCCUUUCCUAAAACUUUCUACAAACCUAUAUUCGUUUCGUACACAUAUUCACUAUAAAACGGAAACAAUAUUACAAGUGUGUCGAAUUGUCCGUAUAAAAAGAGAAAACAAAUUCCUCGACAUACGACGGGGCAUAUAGUUAAUUCGCAGAAAUUGUAAGCGAAGCGUGUGAUACAAAUUGUUUAUCGAGCGAAUCAUACGUAUGUAUAUGUAUAUCUUUGUUAGUAUUACAUCGAUGAUUUAUGAGAAUGCUUA